AGUCCUCGUGUUGCAUCCC
rnacentral:snRNA from 1 species